UUGAAAGAUGGUAAAAAUAAGACAGACAGGAAAGAUCAAUCUAAUGUCGGAAGUGAUUCAAAGAAAACAGAUGGCACGAAGAAGCACUCUCAUGGCUCACCAGCUCCAAGCACUAGCUCCGCAAGUCGCCUUGCCUUGCCAGGGGACUACGGAUAAAACGUUCAUCCAGAGGAUUCCUCAGAAGAGAACUGACCAGCUCUGAGUCAUCAAGGCUCCUCUGCGUCAUUUUAAACGCCCUGCUUAUGCAUCUAGCUCCUACGCACCUUCGGUCCCAAAGAAAACUGAUGAGCAUCCUGCGAGGUACAAGAUGCUGGAUCAGAGGAUCAAAAUGAAAAAAAUUCAGACUAUCUCACAUAACUGGAACAGAAAAUAGGUCAAGGGGAAGAGAGGGAGUGAAGGAGAGGCCCACUCCUCUGCCUGUCAGCACUCACCAGCCACAGUGGAAUAUGCUUCCAAGACCUUUGGAGGCUUUGGGGGCUGGUGCUUUUUGGUCGACUCCACCGAGGCAAAGUGAAGGCCGUAUGUGAUUUUCCCCUCUGUUGUUCUGUUAUGGACCCAUCCGUCACUGGAUCUGGGAGUCAGUGCAGACUCCGGUAGUAAGAGGGUAGUCUCGUGUGGCUUUUAUUUGUAUAGAUCUUUCAAAGUCUAAAUCAGACCCAAAUUAAAAUGAUGCACCCUCUUUAGAAAAUUCCUCCCACUGACACUUCUUUUAUCCCUAGAAGCUGACUUGCCCUAGUAAGAAUAUUGGUUUAAUAAUCAUCGUAUUUAAGAAAUGCACCUCUUAAAACAUCUUUUCCAAUUUUAACUACAAUAGGAAAAGAUGUUUUUAGAAGUGCAUUCCUUAAAUACGGUGAUUAUUACAAUAUUUAAAAUACAGGUAAAUAUGUAACUUUCAAAGUAAACCCAUUAAAGUUAAAAGUUGUGUUUCUGAAUGUAACAAUUGCAGAGGGCAAAGAAGACUGAUGUGCAGUUGAGUUCAUGGAGAAUGCUGAACUGAGGCUUCGCAAAGCAGAUACAAGUCAGAAAUAAAGACACUUGCUUUGGUUUUCAUUGCAUGCUUCAUGCCUGGUGGCCUCAUUUUGUACCUUUAGAGAUGUGAGAGUUUGUAGGAGAUACAUUUUGGCUCUACUUCUUCUAAUUUGUUACUUUCACUUACAUUUGACAAUGCUAGAAAUCAAUGGGAUGCCCAUGCCUCAGAGACUCCAGGUUUGAGAUAUACCCGAGGAAAUGUCCCUUUGGUCUUGUGGUCCUAGGGCAGGAGGGUGUAAAUUCCUGAACCUAAUUUGAAUCCCUUACUUGCAGAUUUUUCUUCAUUAAGUUGGAGAUACCUCUAAGUUAAAUUUCAGAUCAAUUUUCUAGCAGACCCUAUAGCUGAGGCCCUUUGGAAUCUCAGUGCUCUCACAGCUCUUGCUGGAAUGGAAGUUGAUAACUCACCUCUCUUCACUGCGGCAUUUUUAGCUCUUCUGAAUCUCUCCUGGACUUUUUACUUUGGGACUAAAAUCACACAAAAUGGUAAGGAAAUGUUCAAGGCCAUAAAUAGCUUUUGAUCCCUUCAGAAAUGCUCUGGUGCAGUGGAAAACUUCAGGUUUGUUGUCUGGCAGUCCUGAUCACCAAUUCUGUCCCAUCUAUAACUAGUUGCACGUUCUCAGUCUAAUGGCAUAACCGUUAAAAUCCUCAGUUUGCUUAAUUAGAAAGUUGGAUUCAUAAUACCCACAGCCUUUUGUGGUGAAGAUUGAGGAUAACAUAGGUUUGGAUUGUUAUUGCUGAACUCGGUGAGUAAUAGGGAGCACGACCGAUGUAACUAGGAACCUUCCACAUCCAGAAAGAACUCUCAGGAACCCCUGCAACCCCUGGGCUGAUGAUCACAGCGUUUGGGGUCUGAUUGUAAAGGGUUUGGUGUGCUCUCCUUCCCUCUUUCGCCCCAGCUCACUUCCAGUAAACCACAGUUAUGCAAGUUGAGCCAGCUCCAGAGUUUAGUCCACCAUGCUAUUGAGCAAUUUACUUAUAACGUGCCUGACGGUGGUAUUUCAGGGAAAUUUAAUUACUAUACAAAAAGGAAAAUCACUGUGACUUUUUGUUAGGAAAGCAAUUGUAAUUCUUAACUCCCUGCUCAGUGCCGGAGUAAAAGGAUCCUUCUGCAGGCUCACAGUGUCUGUUCCGCCUGAAGUAGGUUAACUCCACACGUAAUUCCUCCCUGUUUGUAUAGAUGCCUCAAUGCUUGCUUCACAGAACCAUUUAGGAGUGAAACUGCCCAUGGGUAGUGGGGCCUCCUGGCGGCCCAGUGGAUCUUCGGUGAUGUUCCUCAAAUCUCCCCCAAUACUUUCAGUCUUAGGCAUUGAAGCAUCAAGGUGGCUGUGCUUUCUCCACUGUGCUUCUUGACAUUAGAAGCCAUGACUCUAGUGAAGAAAGUUGGCUCUUUCUGCAUUCUUUUAUCCCAGGAUGCUAUUUUUCAGCUUUGGCUAAUAUGUUGAUUGAACAAAUGUACAGAUAUUGAGAUUCUGCUUUGCUUGUAAAAUGCCUACCAUGUUUUUUGCAUGAUGGAUUGUAUAGAAAUGCCAGAUUAUAUUCUUAUAGCAAAUAAAAAGAUGCUUUUAAAGGGC